rnacentral:rRNA from 1 species
UGGAGGCAGCAGUGGGGAAUUUUGCGCAAUGGGCGAAAGCCUGACGCAGCAACGCCGCGUGGAGGAUGAAGGCCUUCGGGUCGUAAACUCCUGUCGAUGGGGACGAAGUUCUAGCAAUAGGAUUGACUGUACCCGUUGAGGAAGCCACGGCUAACUCCGUGCCAGCAGCCGCGGUAAUACGGAGGUGGCAAGCGUUGUUCGGAAUUACUGGGCGUAAAGGGCGCGUAGGCGGCCUUACAAGUCAGAUGUGAAAGCCCCGGGCUCAACUCGGGAAUUGCAUCUGAAACUGUAAGGCUUGAGUUCUGGAGGGGGUAGUGGAAUUCCCAGUGUAGCGGUGAAAUGCGUAGAUAUUGGGAGGAACACCUGCGGCGAAGGCGGCUACCUGGACAGAAACUGACGCUGAGGCGCGAAAGCUAGGGGAGCGAACAGGAUUAGAUACCCCGGUAGG